rnacentral:rRNA from 1 species
CGAGCUAAAAGUUAACCUAAUAAAUAACUUCACUUCGAUUAAACAAGUAGUCUGUCUAGCUUUACGUCACCCUUACUACCUAUUUCUCAUUUGUAUUUCUAUUGAUGACAUUACUCCCCCCAUAAAGAUACCAAACCUUAAUGUAAAAAUUUCAACUUACUCACUCUCGGAUCAAUAUAAAUCUGUAUCCUUCACUUGAAGGAAAUCACUUACUCAUCUACGCUUAAUCCACAUUCUGAUUGCAAAGGUCUAGUUGCUGCAAAAUCUUUCACUUACAUGCGAAGAGCCUAUGUUUCCGAUGACGUCUUGACUGUAGGAAAAGUUGCAUCUUCCAAGUCCAACUUUGAAAGAAAAUGUCAUCCUACCAAAGAUUGCAAAUCCCAGACCUGAUGUUGGCCAGAAGAAAGACCAAGCGCUGCGUACUACUGCAUUGAGCGUGAUAUGUUAUUCUUUGCUCCAUUCGUAUACAUUUUCAAUCCAAACAUACUUUGAGAUGGAUUGCCAGCUAGUGUCAUUCAUUUUCUCUUAGUUGGUUAGCCUUCUGUAUGCUGCAAUCCUGUUCGCGUUAGUAGCCUUUCGUGCAAGCAAAUACUAUUUGAAGCCUGCAGAGAGUUCCAGGUUCCACUUUGCCUCGCUGUUGGUGUUGUCUGUGCCUCCUGCUCUGUAAGAGUUUGCACAGCCAUGCAAAAGAAAAGUAACUUUAGAGUUGAAGAUGACAGAGUGUUUUCUACCUUGGCAAAAUAAUUGUUGUCCAGUGCGUAUGGCUGCUGCGUUAAAAUAGGCUAUUGCCUCCGAAUUACAGAGCUCAAAUCACAGUGUUGAAUCUAUGGGAAACAUUCGACAUGAUUGGCGUUUUCGUGGAAUUUGUUUCAAGAAUAAUGAACCCCUGAUUGCAUUUCAUGAUAGGAUCAAAAAUAAACUAUUCGCACCUGUUGAUUUUUGCACCAGACACAGAUCCCCAACAUUACUGACACGUGGAGUCUAAUUACCCAAAUCAACCUCUUGGAAUACAAGUGAGCGAGCGAAGCUAACAAAUCCUUGAAAAGUACAGUGACCUUCUUUCCAAGCUCUUUCGAGCUCAGGAUUUGGGAUGCACGUUCCCGGUUAGCAGGUUCGAGUGGUUUUUGUGUAUUUUUCGAUAUGGUUUCAGUACAAACGACAGAAGUUAUGGCCUGCUUUCGCCGUAUUUCAGCAAAAUUUCCAUUUCUAUCAGUAGUUGAGUAUUGAGAACAUCUGGAAUCAACAGACUUUUGCUCUACGAUUAUCAAAUUCCUUCAUCUAACCGUCUCUGUGUGGAACAUCGCUGGGUUCAUCGAUUAAUGACUCUAAACGUAACAGUGCAGAUAAGAUAAGCCAGUGUUGAAGUUACUCAACAAAGGGUAGGGUCGAUAGGAUGAUCACUUCGACAAUUUAAAUAGCCUUCACUUUGAUACAGUGUCUGCUCCAAAAUUAUGAACAAGUUCAGAAACACAGUCUCAGAUACUCCUCAAUAUGCCACCUUCAUGUUGU